UCUCCUAUAGCUCAGUUGGUAGAGCGGCUGGCUGUUAACCAGCGUGUCGCAGGUUCAAGUCCUGCUGGGGGAG
rnacentral:tRNA from 1 species